CUUUGCUUUUAGCACCUCCCGUCCGUCCGAAGAGCAGCAAGGAUGCUUCUACUCGGUGACUACCCAUCAGGCUCAGUCUGUCAUAAACGCAAACACACGCGAAAGAAUGUCCAUUCGUGUAACGUGAAAGAGGAGGAAUUUCAAAUGGUGGACGUCUCUAUUUCGGCCACUGGAGACGCUCCAGUGAUUCAGGGCCAUCCGUGCAGAGGGCCAUUUGGCAGUCCAGGGCUGAUGCCAGGAGGCUCAUAAAUAAUGGGUGACCCGAAUUUAUGUGUUUUAUUCGUUUCUGUCUUGUAGAAGCUUAAUUAAAAGAGAUUUGCGGUG